rnacentral:rRNA from 1 species
UACGGGAGGCAGCAGUGGGGAAUAUUGCACAAUGGGCGCAAGCCUGAUGCAGCCAUGCCGCGUGUAUGAAGAAGGCCUUCGGGUUGUAAAGUACUUUCAGCGGGGAGGAAGGCGGUGAAGUUAAUAGCUUCACCGAUUGACGUUACCCGCAGAAGAAGCACCGGCUAACUCCGUGCCAGCAGCCGCGGUAAUACGGAGGGUGCAAGCGUUAAUCGGAAUUACUGGGCGUAAAGCGCACGCAGGCGGUCUGUCAAGUCGGAUGUGAAAUCCCCCGGGCUUAACCUGGGAACUGCAUUCGAAACUGGCAGGCUAGAGUCUUGUAGAGGGGGUAGAAUUCCAGGUGUAGCGGUGAAAUGCGUAGAGAUCUGGAGGAAUACCGGUGGCGAAGGCGGCCCCUGGGACAAAGACUGACGCUCAGGUGCGAAAGCGUGGGGAGCGAAACAGGGAUUAGGAUACC